GAUGAAGAACGUAGCGAAAUGCGAUAAGUAGUGUGAAUUGCAGAAUUCAGUGAAUCAUCGAAUCUUUGAACGCACAUUGCGCCCUUUGGUAUUCCUUAGGGCAUGCCUGUUCGAGCGUCAUUUAAACCUUCAAGCUCAGCUUGGUGUUGGGUGACUGUCCGCUUCACCGCGGACUCGCCUCAAAAUUAUUGGCGGCCGGUACAUUGGCUUCGAGCGCAGCAGAAACGCGAACUCGGGCCUGUCGUAUUGGCUCCCAGAAGCUAUCUUCACAAUUUUGACCUCGGAUCAGGUAGGGAUACCCGCUGAACUUAAGCAUAUCAAUAAGCGGAGGA
rnacentral:misc_RNA from 1 species